rnacentral:misc_RNA from 1 species
CUGUAACAUAUAAUGUGUAUAGUACAUAUACAUAUAUACAUAUAUACAGUAUAUAGUAUAUAUUGUAUACUGUAUAAGCUGUUGACCUGAGUUUACUGUAGUGAAAAAAACAUUAUGAUAAUUUAUUUUUUGUUUUGAUACUUUUCACGAGUUUUAGCAAAGCCAACAUGUGUUUAAAAAUAUUGAUCCUGUAGUUUUUUUUUUGCGUCUUUAUAUAAUUUGUGAUCCGAAACGUGACUGCUGCUAUGUCGUGAUUAGCGUCUCUUCACAUGUCUCAGUUCUAAAAUGUCAAUUGAUAAACAGCAGCGAUGAAUAGCAAUUCAGAAUUUGAGUUUUUACGUAAAAGUUUUGGAGUUUUACAAAGAAUUGCUUCUAUUGAAUUUGAUCAGGCAAAGUCUAAAUGGUCUACAUUGCAGUAUGCCGAAAGAGCUUUUGAAUCUGUGCAUAUAGGUAGAAGUAGAACGAAUGAGAAUAAAAGGAGAAAAAGAUCAAAAUCUGAACAUGGCAGAUCUAAAUAUAGAAGGAAAAAUUUGAGCACUUCUGAUUUACUUGUAUACUCCGUAUCGUCUGGUGGAGAAGUUGUUGAAGCAAUUAAGUGUGCUGUUGCAGAAGCCCAAUGCUCCUUAACUCAAAUACGCGAAGGAAAACAUCCAAAUUUUCGGGAUUGUUACGGCUUCUAUAGGAUUGAUGAUGAUAUCGACUUUACUUUCGAAGAUAUUCCAGAUUCUUUAAGAAAGACAAUUAAAAAUUGCGAAAAGGAGAAACAACGUUUUAUAGAUAAGAAAUUGCAUAAAGCUAAUGAAUUUGAGAAAGAUUGGGAAUUCUUUAUGGAAUCUUGGAACAAUAACCUGAUGGAGGAUAGGGAUUUAAAAAAACAAGUCCGAAAAGGGAUUACACCCAUUUACAGACAAAAAAUAUGGACGUACUGUAUAAACAAACGAGUUGGCCUAAAAAGGAAUAAAAAUAAAGACUAUUACCGAAAUUUACUAAAAAGGAACGAAGGUCGAUCAAAUCCAAAUAUCAAGCAGAUUGAAUUGGAUUUAUUAAGGAGCCUUCCGAAUAAUAGCAAAUUUCAAACUUUUAUGUCAGACAGCGUUAUUAAGUUGAGAAAUGUACUUGUUGCCUUUUCAUGGCAUUGUGAACAGAUUGGUUAUUGUCAGGGCUUGAAUCGAAUCGCUGCUAUUGCUUUAUUGGUUUUACCAGAAGAGGAUGCAUUUUGGUGCUUGGUUGCUAUAGUUGAGCAUAUUCUUCCAAAAGAUUAUUAUACAAACGUUUUGCUUGGAGCACAAACAGACCAGAAAGUCCUAAGGGAUUUCAUAAUGAAACUGGUACCCAAGGUCUAUAACAAGCUGGAAGAAAAAAGAGUUGAUCUCUCGCUUUUCACUUUAAGCUGGUUCUUAGCAGUUUUUGUAGAGAAUCUUCCCGUUGAGACGUAUUUUCGCAUAUGGGAUUCAUUUCUAUUGGAGGGUGACAAGAUUCUCUUUCGAUUUGCUAUUGCAAUUUUCAAGAAAAUCGAAGAAGAUAUUUGUAAACUAAAUGAAAAUCCAGAAAUUCAUGCCUUUAUGCGAAUUAUACAGCGUAGUUUGUACGAUCAUCAUACUUUAGCUGAUAUAGCCUUCAAGUUAGGUCCUUUUUCCAAGAAAUCAUUAGCUAAUAAAAGAGAAUUAUAUCUUGAAGAAACAAAGAAAGAAUUAGAAGAAUGGAAGAAAAGAGAAUCUCGAAAUAAAACUAUUGAAUGAAAAAAACAGAUGGCGCUUUCACAGUAUUCACUAUGGAUGACCUCUGUUAGUACCAAACAAAAGAUGAACUACCCAAAAAAAAGAUACGACUUACUCGAUAGCAAAACUUUAAAUCUUAAUAAUAAUAUUGAUAAUAAUGAUAAAUAAUAAUAACAAUUGUUUAUUUUUUUUUUACAUUUAUUCAUUUGUUCUCAUUAAUUUUCAAUUGUAGGAAAGAAUAAUAAAUAUAUAUAUUUCAAUUGAAUAUCUUUUAAAACAGAGUCGGUUUUAAAAGUAAAGGAAAGUUACUGUGUAUUUAUAGAAAAUAGAUCGUUUGAUAGGGAAUACGUAUACAGUAUAUAGAGAUACGGUAUAUAGAAAGAGAGAGAAAGAAGCUAAACAAUAGAACUACGGAAUUAAUCAUUUUGUAAAUACCCUAUAGGGGAAAUAUAUAAGAUGAUUUAGAAGAAUGCCGUUUUUCGUUUUUGAUGGAAUAUUCAGUCUACUUCAAAGGUCAUAAAGCGAGUUCGUUAAUCAUUUUAUCUUUCAAAUCAAUCGAGCUGUUGCGUAGACUGUUCAUUGUCUGAUCAUGUGUUUUUGUUUAUGAAAUUGAUCUCUCACACAAAUUGAUUUAUGCCGAGCUAACAAUAAAUAAGAAAAAAAUUAUGCAGAAGAGAUGAGACGAAGGAGCUAGAAAGAACAAUCGAAUAAAAAAUAUAGCAUUCCUACGCAUUGGAGCGUUAGUCGUUCCGGCUAUUUACUCAAUCUCUAUACAAAUUGACCUCUUUGUUUGAGUAAUAAAACCCUGCUUUUCCCAUUUUACAACGUUCAGGCGUUACUAAAAAUAUAUUUUGAUAUAUAUUAUGUGUAAGUAAAUAAUUCAAAUAUUAUAGUGCACUAACCGCCAUUUGUAUUGUGGCGCCAAUACGGAUAUUGCAGUCUAUAUUGCAGUUGAUUGUUGCGUCUCGUCUUAUUCAACUAGAGGUCAUCGGCUAGUUGGCUUUCAUUUCAAUGCCGUCGCUCGUUAAUUUUACCAGCUGCAAUUCAACAGACAACGAUAUAACAACAAAAGUUCCGUCUUGCCAUACGAUUCCUAAGAGCCGUAACGAGUUAGAUGCUUUUCUAUAUAUCGUAGUCGUUCUACUUUUCUAUGCAGCCGUAAUGUUACUCCUCAUGAUUAAAUACAUAAAGAGAGAAAAACAGGAUGCCAUAUUGGAAAGAUACUAUGAAGAUUUUGUUAAAAGAGACAGUUUUCGAAGAAAUCUUCAUACUAUACCAGCACACGAUCAAAUAAGGAUAUCGAAUGAAAGAAGACUGGAAGAAGAGCCUCGGAAUGUUUAGUAUGUAAAAUCAAAUAUAAUCAUGGCUUUGCGAGGAAUCGUGCGUAGUGUUGAAUAUAAAAUGUACGAUAAAAGUACAAGUAUCAUAAUAGUACCUGUUGACUUUUAGAAAGAAAAAAAAAAGAAAAAAAAACAUGCUGACAGAUAGACGCCCACACUGUAACGGUCAUUUUACUAUCGAGACAUUUUGCUAUUCAAGUUUAUUUCCAUUCUUUUAUUGAAUUUAUUGAAUUCUUUUUUACAAUUGGAAUAAAGAUUCUAUUAAACAUACAUAAUUAAAC